CCACUUUAUAGGCAUAUUAAUCAAAACUGGGCCUGCCCACCCAUCUGACCCCAUCAGCUGUGAGGGAAGUCACAGGUCCCACCCUUAAGCUGGUUGCCAAAUGGUGUUUUGGGCUCUUCUUUUCCCAAGAAGAGACUAGCCCAUUGUCACCAAUGCAGAGCUGGAAGCUGAAAUUGUUAAGGCAGAAUGAAAGGGAGAAAAGCACGUCCUGAGCACCAAGAAGAAGAUAACUCGAAGUUAAGAAGACGUGAUGGUACUUUGGAGAAGAAAGCAACACCUGAGUCAAAUUGCACUGAGCAACGUUCUUUGUUGUUGUGAGAUAUUGAUAAAUCUCCAGGUCUUCAACAAGGGGAGUCGAGAAUAGGAAACUCAUUUCAAAUCAUAUCUCAGGUGACAAGAAGGUUACCAUAUUUGAGGCAGCCUGUUGGGUUGCCUGACGGCGAAAAUCUACAGAACAUUCUGCCUUACAUUGCUGGAGACUGUCUCCUACAACUUGAGUCUUUGAUACUGGUGUCACUUUCAGGAGCUCUAAGAAUACGUCAACUCUCGCUUCUGAGUUGGUGACCCCUCAACCAAGAAAGGACGGUGAUCUCAUUCCUCUCAGCAGGAGUGUUGAGCUCAGACAACUAUGAAAACCAAAAAUCAUCCCAGGUAGGUUAUAAGGGAUUGAAGAGAACCAGAGAGUGGCUCAUUCAUAGGAAGAAGCUGUGAUUUGGCACCAUGUGAGCGUCGUCAGAGAUAAAUGAAGAUCCAACACUGCCAGAGCUUUCAAAUCUCCAAGAGAAGCAUUCAACCUGAAUUGGUAUGUGAAAUGUCUCAGUUUUUAAAAGUUGACAACCAAAUCAGAAAAUAAUUUUAAACACCAUGUAGGCCCAAUGAAACACAUCUCCAAGCCAGAUCCAAAUCACAGAAUUCCAAUCACAGGUUGAAAUCCACUUCUCUAAAAUCUUUUCGUCUCUGACCGGGCAUGGUGGCACACGUCUGUAGUCCCAGCUACUCAGGAGGCCAAGGUAGGAGAAUUGCUUGAGCCCUGGAGUUCGACGCUAGCCUGGGCAACACAGCACGACUCAGUCUCUAAAAGUAAAAAUAAAAUAUUUUCUCCAAACUAGAGGUGUG
rnacentral:lncRNA from 10 species